rnacentral:snoRNA from 10 species
UGCUGGUGGUGAAGCUCCCUCUCUCCGAGCACUGGGCCCUGCCUGGGGGCUCCCGGGAGCCAGGGGAGAUGCUACCUCGGAAGCUGAAGCG